AUACGUAGGGUGCGAGCGUUAUCCGGAAUCAUUGGGCGUAAAGAGCUCGUAGGCGGUUCAGCAAGUCGGCUGUGAAAGUUCGAGGCUCAACCUCGAAAUUGCAGUCGAUACUGCUGUGACUCGAGUCCGGUAGAGGAGAAUGGAAUUCUCGGUGUAGCGGUGAAAUGCGCAGAUAUCGAGAGGAACACCAGUAGCGAAGGCGGUUCUCUGGGCCGGCACUGACGCUGAGGAGCGAAAGCGUGGGGAGCAAACGGGAUUAGAAACCCCAGUAGUCC
rnacentral:rRNA from 1 species